GAGUUUGAUCAUGGCUCAGGAUGAACGCUAGCGGCGCGCCUAAUGCAUGCAAGUCGAGCGAUGAGGCACCUUUGGGUGUACAUCAGCGGCAGACGGGUGAGUAACACGUAGGUGACCUACCCCGAAGACGGGGAUAACAGGUGGAAACAUCUGCUAAUACCCGAUGGACUCUGAGCGGAAGCGAGGAGUAAAGGCUACGGUGCUUCGGGAGGGGCCUGCGGCCUAUCAGCUAGUUGGUAGGGUAACGGCCUACCAAGGCGAAGACGGGUAGGGGUGUGAGAGCACGGCCCCCCACAAUGGGACUGAGACACGGCCCAUACUCCUACGGGAGGCAGCAGCAGGGAAUAUUGCGCAAUGGGCGGAAGCCUGACGCAGCGACGCCGCGUGGAUGAAGAAGGCCUUCGGUUGUAAAUCUUUCUAGGGGACGAGGAAGGACGGUACCCU
rnacentral:rRNA from 1 species